GUAUAUGAUAUCUCAAAGCCAUCGUUUUGUCUUCAUUAUUCUCGCUGCAGCGAAAACAUCAAACCAUAGAUUUUGAACUGCAAAAAGAGAACGAUUUGGAAGCCUUUUCACCAUGAGAGCUAAGUGGAAGAAGAAGCGUAUGAGGAGGUUGAAGAGGAAGAGAAGAAAGAUGAGGCAAAGAUCUAAGUAGUCUAAUUUCCUUAAGAGCUUGUCUGAUGGGUACUUUUUAUUUUUUUUGUUAAAAGGAUUGAAGUUGUUGUUCUAUUUUUAUGGCAAAGUUUUGUAUUAUUGUUGAACCAAUUUUCAUCUACUUGAAACAAUGGUAUUGAGUUUUUGAUUAAA